GAUUAACGUUGGCAGUGCGCCUAACACAUGCAAGUCGAGCGAUAUAGCGGCAGACGAGAGAGUAAUAGUAAGGAACUUACCCCCGAGUGAAGGAUAGCCAGCCGAAAGGUUGGGUAAUCCUGCAUAAUAUCGAAAGAUCAAAGCCUUCGGGCGCUUGGGGAGAGGCCUUACUCCUAUCAGCUUGUUGGUGAGGUAAUGGCUCACCAAGGCGAUGACGGGUAGCUGGUCUGAGAGGAUGAUCAGCCUCGAUGGGACUGAGACACGGCCCAUACUCCUACGGGAGGCAGCAGUUGGGGAUUUUGCACAAUGGAGGAAACUCUGAUGCAGCGACACUGCGUGAAGGAUGAAGGUUCUAGGAUCGUAAACUUCUUUUAUCAGGGAGUAAUCUUGAAAGUACCUGAUGAAUAAGGACCGGCUAACUACGUG
rnacentral:rRNA from 1 species